UGAACGCUGGCGGCAGGCCUAACACAUGCAAGUCGAGCGGCAGCACGGGUACUUGUACCUGGUGGCGAGCGGCGGACGGGUGAGUAAUGCCUAGGAAUCUGCCUGGUAGUGGGGGAUAACGCUCGGAAACGGACGCUAAUACCGCAUACGUCCUACGGGAGAAAGCAGGGGACCUUCGGGCCUUGCGCUAUCAGAUGAGCCUAGGUCGGAUUAGCUAGUUGGUGAGGUAAUGGCUCACCAAGGCGACGAUCCGUAACUGGUCUGAGAGGAUGAUCAGUCACACUGGAACUGAGACACGGUCCAGACUCCUACGGGAGGCAGCAGUGGGGAAUAUUGGACAAUGGGCGAAAGCCUGAUCCAGCCAUGCCGCGUGUGUGAAGAAGGUCUUCGGAUUGUAAAGCACUUUAAGUUGGAGGAAGGGCAGUUACCUAAUACGUAUCUGUUUUGACGUUACCGACAGAAUAAGCACCGGCUAACUCUGUGCCA
rnacentral:rRNA from 1 species